rnacentral:rRNA from 1 species
AUUGAACGCUGGCGGAAUGCUUUACACAUGCAAGUCGAACGAUGAACCUUAGCUUGCUAGGGGGAUUAGUGGCGAACGGGUGAGUAACAUAUCGGAACGUACCUAGUAAUGGGGGAUAACUAGUCGAAAGAUUAGCUAAUACCGCAUACGCCCUGAAGGGGAAAGUAGGGGAUUUUCGGACCUUACGUUAUUAGAGCGGCCGAUAUCUGAUUAGAUAGUUGGUGGGGUAAAGGCCUACCAAGGCGACGAUCAGUAGCUGGUCUGAGAGGACGGCCAGCCACACUGGAACGGGGACACGGUCCAGACUCCUACGGGAGGCAGCAGUGGGGAAUUUUGGACAAUGGGGGCAACCCUGAUCCAGCCAUUCCGCGUGAGUGAAGAAGGCCUUCGGGUUGUAAAGCUCUUUCGCAAGGGAAGAAAACUCACAUUCUAAUAAAGUGUGAGGCUGACGGUACCUUGAUAAGAAGCACCGGCUAACUACGUGCCAGCAGCCGCCGUAA